GUCUACGGCCAUACCACGUUGAAAGCACCAGUUCUCGUCCGAUCAUUGAAGUUAAGCAACGUCGGGCUCGCUUAGUACUUGGAUGGGUGACCGCCUGGGAACACCGAGUGCUGUAGACU
rnacentral:rRNA from 1 species